rnacentral:rRNA from 1 species
UACGGAGGGUGCAAGCGUUAUCCGGAUUCACUGGGUUUAAAGGGUGCGUAGGCGGCCUGUUAAGUCAGUGGUGAACUCCAACAGCUCAACUGUUGAUGUGCCAAUGAUACUGACAGGCUUGAGUACAGACGAGGUAGGCGGAAUUGACAGUGUAGCGGUGAAAUGCAUAGAUAUGGUCAAGAACACCGAUAGCGAAGGCAGCUUGCUAGCCUGUAACUGACGCUGAGGCACGAAAGUAUGGGGAUCAAACAGG